UGUCGGUCCCCGCGCAAUGCCAGGUUGUAAACCCCGUCAGGCCCGGAAGGGAGCAGCGGUAGCAGCUAAGGCAUGUGCCGUGGUGUGGCUGGCAGGG
rnacentral:SRP_RNA from 1 species